rnacentral:rRNA from 1 species
GACAGAGGGUGCAAACGUUGUUCGGAAUUACUGGGCGUAAAGCGUGUGUAGGCGGUCCACUAAGUCGGGUGUGAAAGCCCUGGGCUCAACCCAGGAAGUGCACUCGAAACUGGCGGGCUAGAGUAUCGGAGAGGUUGGUGGAAUUCUCGGUGUAGAGGUGAAAUUCGUAGAUAUCGAGAGGAACACCAGUGGCGAAGGCGGCUACCUGGCACAUAACUGACGCUGAUACGCGAAAGCGUGGGGAGCGAACCGG